AUCCACGAGCCCCAAACAGGACGAAACGCGCGUCUUGGAU
rnacentral:hammerhead_ribozyme from 1 species